UUCAACCGGAAAUUUGAGGAAAAGACCCAAACACUCAAAUAAAGGAUGUUCUUUUCUAUCCUCAAUUCCACUUCUGCAGCAAAAAUUGGAAGCUGUUGGAGCCAAAAUCCCCAGCACUUGUGGGACUUUCUAUCUUGCAGUGUUGGAAGACAGUUUUCCAGAGUAUAGGGCAGAAAUUAAGAAGUCUUGGAAAAGCUGGCAGGACUUGGAGAGAGCAUCCCUUUUCUGAGGAAAUAUGCCUCGUGGCAGAUCUGCCACAGAUCUAAGGAUUCUGGCAAGCUUUGCCUGGAAAUCAGCCCUGCUCUGUGAGCCAGGCAAAGAUUCGGCAAAAUUCCUGAUCUGAGCUCAAGAUGUUUAGAGAGAAAUAAUUCAGCCUCCAUGGCCAUAGCUGUGUUCUGAUGAAUGUUUAUGAUUAAAUUUGGCCAGUUUGUGGCACGAGCUGUUUCUCUCCCCUGAUCUCAGAAAUGCAUUAUUUAACAGCAUUGAAUUCUGUAAAAACCUGCCAGGGCUGUCGAUGUGAGGAAAGACCCGCAGGCCACUGGGGCACUACGAGGGCUGUGCUCCUCAGAGUUUCACCACAGAAGCACACUCUGAGCUUUCUGAAAUGCAAUUUCCUGAGGUGCAGGUGGCAGGGCUGAGGGCAGCAUUGCUGAGGGGCCCGGCUGUGCCCGGCCGUGUGGCUGCGGUAAUUCCAGUGGGAAUCUCCUCACAGAGGAGCCCUCACAGCCAGCACCUGGACACAAACACCCAGUCCAAGGCUUGGCUAAAACAUCUGACCCUUUAUUCCUAAACAUGGCUGAGAUUAAAGGGUGAGGGAUGAGCAAGAGAGCCGACAGCCGGUGGCUGCCAGGAGCAAGGCCCCACAGGCCCCUACCUCCCCGUUCUGUGCUCUGGAAAUAAUGUUAUCACUCUGGGAAGCAAAAGCCAUCAUUUGAGGGUUUAUAGGAAGCUGUGUGUACUGUCCUUCCAACCUCAGCUUGCAGCUGGCACACCUGGCUGAAAUUUCUGGAGCAGGCAGCAUUCAUCUGCUGGAGAAGUGUCUUCCCCUCUCCUGAAGCACAGCAGUGACGAUCCAGUCACCAGAUGGCCAUUGUGUAAAUGGGAAUGAGAAUUUUUAUCCAGAUGGAAGAUGGAAGAUUGAUCACCUUCUCAGGA